rnacentral:rRNA from 1 species
CGGAAGUCUGAACCAGCCAUCCCGCGUGCAGGAAGAAGGUCCUAUGGAUUGCAAACUGUUUUUAGCGGAGACGAAGACCUUUCAUUUAUGAGAGAGUGACGGUAUCUGCGGAAUAAGCACCGGCUAACUCCGUGCCAGCAGCCGCGGUAAUA